GACGAACGCUGGCGGCGUGCUUAACACAUGCAAGUCGAGCGGUAAGGCCCUUUCGGGGGUACACGAGCGGCGAACGGGUGAGUAACACGUGGGUGACCUGCCCUCAGCUCUGGGAUAAGCCUGGGAAACCGGGUCUAAUACCGGAUAUGACUCCAUGACGCAUGUUGUGGGGUGGAAAGCCUUGUGCGGCUGAGGAUGGGCCCGCGGCCUAUCAGCUUGUUGGUGGGGUGAUGGCCUACCAAGGCGACGACGGGUAGCCGGCCUGAGAGGGCGACCGGCCACACUGGGACUGAGACACGGCCCAGACUCCUACGGGAGGCAGCAGUGGGGAAUCUUGCGCAAUGGGCGAAAGCCUGACGCAGCGACGCCGCGUGAGGGAUGACGGCCUCGGUGUAACU
rnacentral:rRNA from 1 species